rnacentral:rRNA from 1 species
UACAGAGGUCCCGAGCGUUGUUCGGAUUCACUGGGCGUAAAGGGUGCGUAGGUGGCCUGAAAAGUUUGAUGUGAAAGCUCAGGGCUUAACCCUGAAAUGGCAUUGAAUACUGUCGGGCUGGAGGUUUGGAGGGGGGACUGGAAUUCUUGGUGUAGCAGUGAAAUGCGUAGAGAUCGUAAGGAAGACCAGUGGCGAAGGCGGGUCUCUGGACAGUUCCUGACACUGAGGCACGAAGGCCAGGGGAGCAAACGGG